AGAGGAUACCCACCAAGUUACAACUUCUUUUAUGUAAAUAAAGGCCAAAAAAAGGAAAAUUGUAGGCCGUCCGAUUUACAUUCCACUCUGCGAUUAGUGGAGCUUCUUCCAUCUGAUCGUUCAUCCUUCUUCCUCUUCCUUGUAGCCGUGAAAUCCUAAAGAUUCCAACUUUCUAUAUUGAAGAAAGAUGACAGACAACGGCGCUAGCGAUGAGGAGGCUAGGGUUCCUCCUAGCGACUCGGGUUCACGAACGAGGCAAAGGAGAAAGAGAAAGUGGGACCAGCCCGCGGAGCAGCUUGUUGCAGCUGGAGUUGUGCUUCCUCGAUUAGGCAAGGUUCCUCCUGCUCCAUUGUUCCAAACCCCGCUUCCAAAACUUAUUCAAGAUGAGUUGAAUAUAGCUAGAGAAAUCGUUAUCAACGAUGCCGAGGCUUCUCUUAGGCACAAGCUUACUAAACGCUCAACUCAAGAAGAAAUUCAGAGGUCUACUGGUGCUGUCGUGAUUACUAGGGGCAAGUAUCGUCCUCCAAAUGCACCUCCUGAUGGUGAAAAGCCAUUAUAUCUUCACAUCUCGGCUGCUGCCCAUUUAAAAGAGACUACAGAGCGAAUUUUGGCAGUUGAUCGUGCAGCAGCUAUGAUUGAGGAGAUGAUGAAACAGAAAACAAACUCACAGGUGGGGUUGGUUGGUUCUCAGACGGUCAAGAUGCUGAACACAUGCGUUUAUUUGGGUUUUGAAGCUGACCCAUCAUCUAACGUUGCUGCUCGUAUCCGUGGGCCUAACGAUCAGUAUAUAAAUCACAUUAUGAAUGAAACAGGAGCAACCGUUGUACUAAGAGGGCGUGGUUCAGGGUGCCUUGAGAACCAACAUGGUGAAGAAGCACAGCAACAAUUGCAUCUGUUGUUGUCUAGUAGCAACCAGAAGAGCAUUGACGAUGCAAAACGUUUAGCUGAGAAUCUUAUGGAUACAAUCAGUGUAGAGUUCGGGGCUUCAAGGGUUUCCUCAAGCAAGGUGUAUGGUGCUGUACCACCACCACAGCAACUGCUUGCCGGAGCUCCGAGUUCUGAAACCGCGCAAAAGCCAAAUUUGAGUUCAUCAUAUGGUUUGAUGACACCGCCAAAUGCUGUUAAUCCAUAUCCAGUUCCUCCAGCAACAACAACUCUGUAUCCUCAGUUUCCAGUGUUGCAGCACCCUCCAGGGAUCUCAAACGGUGGGCAAUUGCGACCAAGUCCUGUCAGUUACUUACAACCUGCGGCUGGUGGAACUAGUUAUAGUGGGUAUGCCGGGAUAUACCCUCAAGCCACUCCACUGCAACAAGUCGCUCAAGUCCUUAAGCAAUCCGUUUCUCCUGUUAUCUCCACCGUGCCCCCUACUUUGUUGACAGCUGCCGCCUUAUCAAAGCCAAGUGAUAUUCCAAGUAAGGAAACGGAAAGGCGUCCACCCCAGAAGCGAAAGUUUCAGGAGCUACCAGCUGAUUGUAAAGUCACAGCAAAAUCCAAAGAGGUAUUUUUCUGAACUUCUAAGAAGCUAACUAGCUGAUUCUGGACCCGUGGGCCAUUGGUUUGAAUGUUUCACAGGCAGCCAGAGUUAGCAAUGGCAGGUGAAGUUGCUCCAAAGAAUAUAGUUGAGCCGAGAUCAAAUGGAGUGCAAUCACUGCCUUCACCACGUUCCAUGAUGCCUCCUCCUCCACCAAAGACCAUCCAACCACCACCUUCGAGGGAUGUGUCUCCUCCAUCAUCGAGAACCAUGCUUCCUCCACCACCGCGAUUUACACCAUCAAAACAACCUCCAGCUCCAAGAUUACAGGAGGACCAAAUCACUAUUAAGAAACCAAAUCCAGUUCCAGAUACUUUAAUAAAACUGAUGGAGUAUGGAGAUGAUGAAGACGAUGAUGAAGACUAGACAUUGACAGUGUAAUGGUAAUGAUGGAACCAUCUGAUCUGGCAAAACAAAAUUCCAGGCUAUGCUUGAAACAAUAGAGAAGCCUUGUCCUGAUAUAAAGUUAUAAGACAUUAGCUUACACUUGUCUUGCAACCUAUUACUAUGGCUGAUUUUGUGAUGCCCUUUUUGUUGUACCUCUUUACGAUUAAUACAUACCAUAGAGAAGCCUUUUCCAAUU